GACGAACGCUGGCGGCGUGCUUAACACAUGCAUGUCGAACGGAAAGGCCCUGCUUUUGUGGGGUGCUCGAGUGGCGAACGGGUGAGUAACACGUGAGUAACCUGCCCUUGACUUUGGGAUAACUUCAGGAAACUGGGGCUAAUACCGGAUAGGAGCUCCUGCUGCAUGGUGGGGGUUGGAAAGUUUCGGCGGUUGGGGAUGGACUCGCGGCUUAUCAGCUUGUUGGUGGGGUAGUGGCUUACCAAGGCUUUGACGGGUAGCCGGCCUGAGAGGGUGACCGGCCACAUUGGGACUGAGAUACGGCCCAGACUCCUACGGGAGGCAGCAGUGGGGAAUAUUGCACAAUGGGCGGAAGCCUGAUGCAGCAACGCCGCGUGCGGGAUGACGGCCUUCGGGUUGUAAACCGCUUUCGCCUGUGACGAGGCGUGAGUGACGGUAAUGGGUAAAGAAGCACCGGCUAACUACGUGCUAGCAGCCGCGGUGAUACGUAGGGUGCGAGCGUUGUCCGGAUUUAUUGGGCGUAAAGGGCUCGUAGGUGGUUGAUCGCGUCGGAAGUGUAAUCUUGGGGCUUAACCCUGAGCGUGCUUUCGAUACGGGUUGACUUGAGGAAGGUAGGGGAGAAUGGAAUUCCUGGUGGAGCGGUGGAAUGCGCAGAUAUCAGGAGGAACACCAGUGGCGAAGGCGGUUCUCUGGGCCUUUCCUGACGCUGAGGAGCGAAAGCGUGGGGAGCGAACAGGCUUAGAUACCCUGGUAGUCCACGCUGUAAACGGUGGGUACUAGGUGUGGGGUCCAUUCCACGGGUUCCGUGCCGGAGCUAACGCUUUAAGUACCCCGCCUGGGGAGUACGGCCGCAAGGCUAAAACUCAAAGGAAUUGACGGGGCCCCGCACAAGCGGCGGAGCAUGCGGAUUAAUUCGAUGCAACGCGUAGAACCUUACCUGGGUUUGACAUGGAUCGGGAGUGCUCAGAGAUGGGUGUGCCUCUUUUGGGGUCGGUUCACAGGUGGUGCAUGCCUGUCGUCAGCUCGUGUCGUGAGAUGUUGGGUUAAGUCCCGCAACGAGCGCAACCCUUGUUCACUGUUGCCAGCACGUUAUGGUGGGGACUCAGUGGAGACCGCCGGGGUCAACUCGGAGGAAGGUGGGGAUGACGUCAAGUCCUCAUGCCCCUUAUGUCAGGGCUUCACGCAUGCUACAAUGGCUGGUACAGAGAGUGGCGAGCCUGUGAGGGUGAGCGAAUCUCGGAAAGCCGGUCUCAGUUCGGAUUGGGGUCUGCAACUCGACCUCAUGAAGUCGGAGUCGCUAGUAAUCGCAGAUCAGCAACGCUGCGGUGAAUACGUUCCCGGG
rnacentral:rRNA from 1 species